CCUACGGGUGGCUGCAGUCGAGAAUCUUCGGCAAUGGACGCAAGUCUGACCGAGCGACGCCGCGUGCGGGAUGAAGGCCUUCGGGUUGUAAACCGCUGUCAGUGGGGAGGCCUAUCCGCAGAGGAAGUGUGGGCUAAGUUCGUGCCAGCAGCCGCGGUAAGACGAACCACACAAACGUUAUUCGGAAUUACUGGGCUUAAAGGGUGCGUAGGCGGCGUGGAAAGUUGGGUGUGAAAUCCCUCAGCUUAACUGAGGAACAGCGCCCAAAACUACCAUGCUCGAGGGAGAUAGAGGAAUGCGGAACUUAGGGUGGAGCGGUGAAAUGCGUUGAUAUCCUAGGGAACACCGGUGGCGAAAGCGGCAUUCUGGUCCUUCUGACGCUGAGGCACGAAAGCUAGGGUAGCAAACGGGAUUAGAUACCCUUGUAGUC
rnacentral:rRNA from 1 species